GUGGGCCCUUUAUUGAACAGAUUUAUCUGCUACAAGGCCACGCAGAAGGAUGGAAAGGAGGAACACAGGGGGAAAAAAAUAGAUUCAAGGCCGUGCAUUGAUCAUCUGAUGUCCUCCAGAGACAAACGUGGGUAUCACAGGGGCUGGUUCUGGGGUAAUGAGGAAACACGAGGCCUAAACGCCUCUGGCUUGUCUGUCCAAGGAUCUGCCUCAAAUGUGGCUCCCAUCCUUCUGAAGAACUCUUCAGCACAAGGCAGGGUUCCUGGACGAAGUGACCCAGGGCAGCUUCAUGCCCGGGCUACGACCGCCCCUACCAGCUGGAGCUCACGGUGAGGGAGCCCAAGAGCAUCCAGCUGUACCAGCACCUCAACCUCAAGUGCUGCAUCUGGACCUUCAACGCUUAUCACGACAUGACCGAGUUAAUUGAUGUCUGUGGGGUCUCUGUCACCGCUGACUUCCAGGUAAGGGACUCUGCCCAGUCCUUCCUGACAGUCCACGUCCCUCUCUAUGUGUCCUAC